rnacentral:rRNA from 1 species
UGCGUAGGCGGACUAAUAAGUCAGUGGUGAAAUCUUUCGGCUCAACCGAGAGACUGCCAUUGAUACUGUUAGUCUUGAGUUCGGUUGAGGUAGGCGGAAUGUGUAAUGUAGCGGUGAAAUGCUUAGAUAUUACACAGAACACCAAUUGAGUAGGCAGCUUACUAGACCGACACUGACGCUGAGGCACGAAAGCGUGGGGAGCGAACAGGAUUAGAUACCCUGGUAGUCC